AUGCCUAACCGGGUGGGCGCCGACUCCGGGGGCGGCGGUGGAGCGGGGGAGCCCGUGGAGGCCAGCGGCGGCGUGCACGAGAGAGUACUGCCACCGGGGAAGAGCGAGCUGUUCGCGGAGCCCGUGUCCGGGCCGCGCGGAGGCGGGGGCGGCAGCGACAGCGACGAGGUGGAGAUCACGCUCGACAUGCUGGACGACUCGGUGGUGGUGCGAAGCGUGAAGCCGGUGGCGGGAGGCGGGGACUCGGCGGUGACGCCGGAGAAGCGGUCGUCCUCGCACGGCCAUGGCGUGCUCCGGAACGCCUCGGCGCGGUUCAAGCAAGNNNNNNNNNNGUCUCGGGAGCUCCGGCGGAUCGCGUCCUUCAACCUCCGGGGAGGCGGCCCUAGCCGCAUCGACAGGUCCAACUCGAAGCCCGUCGCCACGCACGCGCUCGAGGGUCUCAAGUUCAUCAGCGGCACUAACGGCUCCGCCGAGUGGACCGCCGCCGAGGGGAUCUUCGACAAAAAAGCCAGGAAUGGGCGCCUCCCCCGCUCCAAGUUCGGCGAGUGCAUCGGUAUGAAAGAGGCCGCGUUCGCCGGCGAGUUGUUCGACGCGCUGGCAAGGCGGCGGAACAUCACCGGAGAGAGCAUCAACAAGUCGGAGCUGCGUGAGUUCUGGGAUCAAAUUUCAGACACCAGCUUCGACAGCCGCCUGCAGACCUUCCUCGACAUGGUGGACAAGAACGACGACGGGAGGAUCAGCGAGGACGAGGCCAAACAGAUCAUCACGUUGAGCGUAUCGGCGAACAAGCUAACGAUGGUCCCGCGACAGUGCGAGGAGUAUGCACGUCUCAUCAUGGAGGCGUUGGACCCCAACGAACUCGGCUACAUCGAGCUGUACAACCUGAAGAUGUUGCUGCUGGAGGCGCCGAGCGAGUCGACAACCAACAACCACAAGCUCAGCAAACUGCUGAGCCAGCGUCUCCGUCCGACGACGGAUCCCAGCCCUGUCCGACGGUGGUACAAGCGUGCCAAGCACUCCCUGGAGGACAACUGGCGGCGCUGCUGGGUGAUGCUCCUGUGGCUGUCCAUCUGCGUGGGCCUCUUCGCCUGGAAGUUCAUGCAAUACCGCCACCACGCCGUGUUCGGGGUGAUGGGCUACUGCGUGUGUGUGGCCAAGGGCGGGGCCGAGACGCUCAAGUUCAACAUGGCGCUCACGCUCCUCCCCGUGUGCCGCAACAGCAUCACUUGGCUCCGGAGCCACACCACCGCCGGACGAAUCGUGCCCUUCAACGACAACCUCAAGUUCCACAUGGCGAUCGCGGUUGGGAUCACCGUCGGCGCCGGGCUACACAUCAUCUCCCACCUGGCAUGCGACUUCCCGCGGCUGCUGCACGCCAUGGACGACGAGUACGAGCCCAUGAAGCCAUUCUUCGGCGACGCCAAGCCGCCCAACUACUGGUGGUUCGUGAGGGGGACAGAGGGGUGGACGGGGCUAGUGAUGCUCGCGCUCAUGGCCGUCGCCUUUACGUUCGCCACGGCACCGCUCCGCAAGGGGAAGCUCCGCCUUCCCAAGCUCAAGAAGCUCGAGAGCCUCGACAGCAACCCCGAGCCUAGGGAGCUCACCCGCUUCGCCGAGCUCGUCAACGCCUCAUGCAGCCGCCUCACUUGGUUGGUCAACGCCUUGCUCAACCGCUUCACUGGGUACAACGUCUUCUGGUACACACACCACCUCUUCCUCGUCGUCUACGGGCUGCUCAUCGUCCAUGGACACUUUCUCUACCUCAACAACAAGUGGCAAAAGAAGUCGACGUGGAUGUACCUGGCGGUGCCGAUGACCGUGUACGCAUGCGAGCGGCUGACGAGGACGCUGCGGUCGAGCGUGAGGUCGGUGAAGAAAGUCAGGGUGGCCGUGCAUCCGCACCCGGCGACCCUUCUGUCGCUGCACUUGUCCAAGCCGCAGGGGUUCAGGUACAAGAGCGGGCAGUACAUCUACGUCAAGUGCCCCGACGUCUCGCCAUUCCAGUGGCACCCGUUCUCCAUCACGUCGGCGCCAGGGGAUGACUACGUCAGCGUCCACAUCAAAACGCUCGGCGACUGGACCAACCAGCUCAGGAACGCCUUCUUAAAGGUUUGCCCAGCACCGACAGAGGGGACGACCGAGAUUCUUCGGGUGGAGUACAACCACGAUGACGUCAUGUCCAACCCGAGCCUCCCGAAGGUGCUGAUCGACGGGCCGUACGGGGCGCCGGCGCAGGACUACAAGGAGUACGACAUCGUGCUACUGGUGGGACUCGGCAUCGGUGCAACGCCUAUGAUCUCCAUCAUCAAGGACAUCAUCACCAACGCGAGGCGGCUCGACGGGGACGUCGAGUCCGGCAACGGCCACGCCGGCGCCGCGAGCCCGUUCCGGACCCGUCGAGCCUACUUCUACUGGGUCACCCGGGAGCAGGGCUCCCUGGAGUGGUUCCGUGGGGUCAUGGACGAGGUGGCCGAGGCCGACGAGCAGCGCAUCAUCGAGCUCCACAACCACUGCACCAGCGUCUACGAGAAGGGCGACGCCCGGUCCGCGCUCAUCGCCAUGCUCCAGUCCCUCCACUACGCCAAGAACGGCGUCGACGUCGUCUCCGGCAGCCGCGUCAUGACCCACUUCGGCCGACCAAACUGGGCCCAAGUCUACCAGCGCAUCGCGGACGAGAACAAGCAAAAACGCGUCGGAGUGUUCUAUUGUGGCGAGCCGGUGCUCACGAACAAGCUGCGCGGGCUCGCAAAGGAUUUCUCAAGUAAAUCAAGCACAAAAUUCGUGUUCCACAGCGAGAAUUUCUAG
rnacentral:rRNA from 1 species